rnacentral:misc_RNA from 1 species
UUGAAUUUAGAGACUGAAAGGUUUCGAAUUCCACACUGUGUUUUAAGCAGUCUGACCGUUUAAUUACGAGAUGAUGUGCAAACCUGUUCAUACCACGCUAUGAAAUUAAACAAACAAGAACUA